CGAUGCCAAUACAGGACACCCCUGCAGAGGCAGUUGCAGGGGGCUCCCUAAAGCCAGCUUAUAACCAGGAACCAAAAAUAGGGCUUGGCACGAGGAGGGGAAGAGGGGUGUGUGUCUCAAUGAGGGGAAUGGCAACAUCUCUUUGUGCUCUACAGGUUUAAAAAACAAAAUGGCCAAGGCUCUCCCCAGGUGUCGAUGGGGUGGGAGGCAUGGCCCAACUCCUGAAGAUGUCAUGGCACAGUGGGCAGCCACCAUGGGGAAUCCGGCCGGGAUGACAGAGACAGCCCUGCAGCACGGCACUGCUCAUAGUGGGGCCAGGCCCUGGAGGAGUCUCCUGAAGCCACAAACAUACAUAGUCCGCACCCUCCCCUGCCCCAAACUCAGCGUGUAGCAGAUCAACCUCUGUACUAUCAGCCAAGCCAAUACAACAAGCACAGUGAUUGUGGACUACUCCCCAAGAACAAAACAUCGAAGAACAGCCAAGCUAGCACGCUGGCUCACGCCUGUAAUCCUAGCACUUUUCAAGGCCGAGGCAGGCGGAUCCCUUGAGCCCAGGAGUUCGAGACCAGCCUUGGCAACAUGAUGAAACCCUGUUUCUACAAAAGGCACAAAAAUUAGCUAGGCGUUGUGGGAGGAUCACUUGAGCCAAGGAGGUAGAGUUUGCAGUGAGCCUUGAUCGCACCCUGAACUCCAGCAUGGGUAACAGAGCAAGACCCUGUCUCUAAUAAAUAAAUAAAUGAAAAUAACAGCCAUUCAUCAGAACAGCCAUUCAUCAGAACAGCCAUUCAUCCCGGCUCUCAGCACCUCCAAUCUGCACCCUGUACUGGUCAGCCCAAGCUAUUCUAGAGAGUGCUACCCCACAAGUCUCCCUAAGCAGUCUGACCAUAAUUACAGCUAAAGAUAGGUGCCUCUGAUACUUCAUAUACUGUGCCAGGGGAAUCCCACAAUUUAC
rnacentral:lncRNA from 1 species